rnacentral:rRNA from 1 species
ACUCAAAUGAAUUGACGGGGACCCGCACAAGCGGUGGAGCAUGUGGUUUAAUUCGAUGCAACGCGAAUAACCUUACCUGGCCUUGACAUCUACGGAACCCUGCAGAGAUGCGGGGGUGCCUUCGGGAACCGUAAGACAGGUGCUGCAUGGCUGUCGUCAGCUCGUGUCGUGAGAUGUUGGGUUAAGUCCCGCAACGAGCGCAACCCUUGUCCUUAGUUGCCAUCAUUAAGUUGGGAACUCUAAGGAGACCGCCGGUGACAAACCGGAGGAAGGUGGGGAUGACGUCAAGUCAUCAUGGCCUUUAUGGCCAGGGCUACACACGUGCUACAAUGGCAGGUACAGAGGGAAGCCAAGCGGCGACGCGGAGCUAAUCCCAGAAAACCUGUCGUAGUCCGGAUUGGAGUCUGCAACUCGACUCCAUGAAGUUGGAAUCGCUAGUAAUCGCAGAUCAGCAUUGCUGCGGUGAAUACGUUCCCGGGUCUUGUACACACCGCCCGU